GACGAACGCUGGCGGCGUGCUUAACACAUGCAAGUCGAACGGAAAGGCCCUGCUUUUGUGGGGUGCUCGAGUGGCGAACGGGUGAGUAACAUGUGAGUAACCUGCCCUGUACUUUGGGAUAACUUCAGGAAACUGGUGCUAAUACCGGAGAGGAGCUCCUGCUGCAUGGUGGGGGUUGGAAAGUUUCGGCGGUGGUGGAUGGACUCGCGGCUUAUUAGCUGGUGGGGGGGGUAGUGGCUUACGAAGGCUUGGGUGGGUAGCCGGCCUGAGAGGGUGACCGGCCACAUUGGGACUGCGAUACGGCGCAGAGUCCUACGUGAGGCAGCAGUGGGGAAUAUUGCACAAUGGGCGGAAGCCUGAUGAAGCAACGCCGCGUGCGGGAUGACGGCCUUCGGGUUGUAAACCGCUUUCGCCUGUGACGAAGCGUGAGUGACGGUAAUGGGUAAAGAAGCACCGGCUAACUACGUG
rnacentral:rRNA from 1 species